GCCAGUGUGGUGUAAUGAUUUGAGCAUUGGACUACAACUCUGGAGACCAGGAUUCGAUUCCCUGCUCAGCCA